rnacentral:tRNA from 1 species
CAUUAAAUGACUGAAAAAGUAUUGAUUUUUUAAAUCAAAGCAUAAUAGAUUAAAUUACUAUUUUUAAUGA